AUGGCUGUUGGGUCAUUGUCUUUUUUCUUCCUCACAUGCACGUACAUUUCUGCAUCGAUCAGGUAAGAUGGUUUUUAUUUCAGUUUCUUUUGCUUAUUCUCUUGCUACGACUUUUUGGGUAUUUGCUUAUUUUGUAGCUUUUAUGGGAGUUAGGUCUGAUCUCAUCUCAUUUGUGUGGGACAGUUUGAUUUUGUUGGCAAGUGAUUGUGAUUUGGUUUAAUAAAAAUAAAAAAUCAAGUAAUAACAUUUCUCUCUCCUGUGUCUUUUCGGUUCCUUUAUAGAGAAAGAAGAAAGAGAGAAGUUUUACUUCUCUGCCAAUGAACGUUAGGAUGCACAAAUCCACCCGAACGGACCGAUUCAAUAAGAUUAGAGCCCAGCCCAAAUUUCCCCUGUUUUUGAUUAGCUCUGAUUUCUCGAUCUUUAUCAAUGGCGACCAAAGAAGGAAAAGCCAUCAGAAUCGUCUUGCGGCCAAGACCGAUCUCCACGUCUGUUUCUUUGUUCUUUAAUUUGUCUAUUUUAUUAGAGGGAUAUUGUAGGAAUUUUGUAAUAUUAAAGAAUUUAUUUUUGUCUAAAAAAAUAUAAACUCAUUCAGAUGUGCCC
rnacentral:lncRNA from 1 species